ensembl:processed_transcript Gm26728 predicted gene, 26728
CUCUACUCGCCCGGAGUCCGCCUGGCGCGCGCAGUACCAGCGGCUCCCGGCGCUCUCGGCCGCCGGGACACUCUCCGCCCCGGACGCCGUCUCGGGCCUGAGAACAGGUGGCCUCGGAGAGGAGCGCGCCGGCAGUCGCCUCUCACUCACCCAGAAGAUGAAGUUAAAUCCGAAGAGCAGCCCCAGGCACUUUGCUUCAGUCCUGUGUCCUGAAGGGUUUCACAGCUCUGUUUGGCAGUGGGUGAGUCCCGUGGUUUCUUCCCCUCCUGCCCGUUUAGCAGGAUUGCAGCAUCCUUUGCUUUGAGAGCUGUCCUCCAGCUGGGUGUGUCAUUGCUGGCACCCCACCCACCUUUCGAUCCACCUUUGCUGAGCAAGCCAGGUAAACAGAAUGCCAGGCCCCUGGGUGCCCUGACCCAGACCCCUGAGUGCCCUGACUUGCCCUCCACCAGAGAUUUCGAUGCAUGUCUCUCUGAUUCUCCACUCCAUGAUGUCUGCACCCUGGAAUUUCUACUGCUGGAGGCUGUCCUUCACCCACUACCCUUUGGGGCCCAUUGAGAGGCUAACUCUGUUUAGCCCUAGCUUUGUAUCUGCUUCUAAUUAUAGUUUUAAAAUAACUUAUUUAUUCACAUAAUUAAAAAUGAGGAUGCAAAAGAGUAAAAAGAAAAAUGGGUUCUGGAAACUUAACAUGUGAGACAGACUUGGGAAUCAGGUAGGCAAUGUGUGCUUCUCAUUAGACUCCCAGUUCAGAUGGAACAAUUGUUAACUUUUUUUUUUUCAGGCAUGUAGGGAGACAUUAAUUAAGAAUUUUGGGGGUCAUGUCUCUGUGUAGCUUAGGCUGAUCUUGAAGUUGCAAUCCUACUGCCUUGGCCUCUUGAGUAUUGUGACUACAGGCCUGGCUAGGGAACCCUAAACAAAGACUAAUCAUUAACUGAUAUUAUUAAACAUUAUUAUUAUUAUUAUUGUUUUUGGAAGCAGCAUCUCACUGACCCUACACAGAACUUGCUACAUAGAGCAGGCUGGCCUGAAACUCUGAUGUUUGCCACCUGAUGUGUUCCACUACUCCAGCCUAAGGAAAUUUGGGUUUGUCAUGUAUGAAGACGACACUGUCAUUUUCAAGAAAGUCUCGAGCCUCGGAGACACACGCUGAGAUGUCUAUAUCCCUGCUUUCAGUUGACAAUCCAGGUCCUGUGUCGAGGCUGGACCAACAAUUGCUCAUACUCUGGUGGGCCUUUUGGAGAUGUGGUUGCCUUUGAGUCUUCCAUGGUCCUGAAAGAAACCCCUCACUUAAAGUCCUGUAAUCAACAAUAAUAAACUCUCUGGUUCACUAAGCUGU